CUUGUUUCUUUUUUAUUCGAUUCGUUUUAAUUGAUUGAAUUUGUGGAUGAUUGAUUGAAUUAGAGUGAAUUCUUUUCUGGAUUUUUAGGUUUCGUCAUAGACCUUUUUCGUCUCUAUUGGAAUAUUUUUGGACUGUUGGUUUCCCCAGGAUCUCUAUAUAUACACACAUAACAUCAGUUUUAAUGGGUUUUCAAUCUUUAUAUGCGGGUGUUGAUUAUUUCAGGAAUUGAAGUGAUAUGGUUUUACUACGAUCUCAUCUUGGAAUGUACUCAGAGUAAGAAUUCUGUGGUAACUGGGAGUGAAGCUGUAGAUGAGAUAUGCAAGUUACCCUCGAAAGGGUAAGAAUUCUGUUAAUUAUGUACAGCAAAGUUUCUUCUGAAUACUAGAUUUUGUAUGACUGAAUGCAUUGAGCUUUUGGUGCAUUAUGGACCUAACUAUCAAGAUUUGUCUAAUACUAAAUGGACUUCACAAUUAAUUGCAUAUUAUAUUGUCAACAUUAACAAACAACAAGACCUGAUCAAUCUUUUGGGAGCUACCUAUGCUGUUGUUCUUUUCCUUGCAGCUAGCAAUGCCUCUGCUGUGCAAUUUGUUGUGGCGGUUCAGUAGCAUGAAUGUACUCAGAGUUGCCUUACGCAUUUGCUCAGGUGGCUAUUGAAUUUUAAGAACAAGGCAUUGUUAGAGAGGAAAAGGGAGCUGCUUGUCAUAGAGGAAAAACGAGCACUCCAUGCAGUGAAGGCUUUCCCCAAAGAUGACCCAUCUAACCCCUGGAAGCUGACUGCUUCCCAUAUAUGGAACUAUUGUUACAUUUAUACAAGUCCAAGUGUUGUUCAUCGUAGUUUUAUAGCUUUCUUUCGAUGCUAUUGCAUCGCCUCAU